rfam:Schistosoma rodhaini strain Burundi genome assembly, scaffold: SROB_contig0006817
AUCCAGCUGACGAGUCCCAAAUAGGACGAAACGCGCGUCGAACUGGAU